GGUGAUGGAGCUUAGUGGUACAGCGCUUGCCUGAUAAGCAGGGGACCCUGAUCAAUCUCCCAGCACCA
rnacentral:tRNA from 1 species